ACUUUUUCGCUUGACAAGUACAGACUAAAGUCUUUGAGCCGGCGUUAUUGUUUGUUUCACACUUACGUUUUAAUAUGGGUGGUGUUAGAUUUUUAUAGAAUUAGAUGCAUUAUUAAAUGGUUGUAUUAGUAGCUUGAAACUAAUUUCCCAACUUAAAUAUUAUUUCAUUAAAAUGCAAAUAGUUAAAAAGGAGUUUAAUGGAAGUGAGUUCUUGUUCUUUGGAUGGAUCAGUGUAACUUGAAGAUAUUACUCAUCCCAUAAUCAUAAUCUAUUCUAAUAAUUAUUGUCUAUUCAACGUAGUAAGAAAUGUGGCAACAAGUGAUUAUUUCUUUAGCUACUACAGUGGAAGUGAUAAGUGUCCUCUUUGGGAAUAUCUUCGCCGUUUUAGAAAAGAAAAUACUUUAUUUGACAUGAAUUAUAUGUAAUAAACAAUAAGGUAUGCAAUACGGUUAUGAAUAGAAGCAAGAAAAACAUAAUAAUGUCUCUUCACAUACGUGUUUGUUCACGAAGGAUUCUUAACUCCUGCCAUCUUACAAGUAUCUACAGAGAUUCUUCGAUUGUAUUGAAAUCAUAGAUUGCCUACUAUUAGGCAACCCAAAAGUGGACUGUAUUUGUGUAAAAUAUGAGGGCGAAUAACUAAGUACAGACACAGGGUGCUUAGAAAGUUUUAUGUCAAAUGUAAAUAACAUAUACUAGGGUAUGGGCUUGAAAAAUUUUGAAAAAGCAUAACGAAAAUACAGACAACUUAAUUUUAUAAUAAUAAUGGUGUUUAUAAGUCGAAAGGAUUAGAACAAACUUACAAAGUGGAUAUAUUUUUUAUCACCCAAGAUUAGUUUCAAAUAGGUACUAAGUCAUCAGUGCUGAUUAUGUAGGAGAGCUACCGGCCUGUUUGGUGAAGUGCUAUUGGCUAGAGCAGAGGUUUUCAAAUGAUGGAACUUUUUUGGCAAGAGAAAUACUUCACUGAACUCUAAAAUAAAACAAAUAUGUCUUUAUGUGCAUUCUUUAUCAAUCAUUAUAAUAUGGAUAGGUAUCACAUAAAAAAAGGUUGAAGGAUCUAAUGAGAGGUGUGAAACUGUUUCUUGUCUUUUUGUCAAUUGGUUGAUGUCAGGUUUGAUGGGAGAUAGUUGAAGUCUCAUGUCAGGUUUGACGUCUAGUCUAUUGCAGUAUUUCGAUUUAGUAGCUGCAUAGGUUGAAAAUCCUAUUUCACACAAGUGUGUUGUUGAGAUGCUGGACCAAUUCUUCAAAUAUAUCAUCUUGAAACAUUUCUGAGUCGCUAUCACUAACAAGCUCAUUGAGUGACAUAAAGCUUUCUAUUUCUUUCGUACCAAUGAAAAUAACCCAAGAAUUUAUUUUUUUAGGACAGUAAUUCUGUUAAGGGCCUCGAACAUUGUUGUCUCAUUACAUUGUUAUGAUAAAUUCCAUCCGUUCAAGUCCAAGUUCAAGAUAUCCGCCAUAAAAGACAGUCGGAACAACCAAGUUUUAGCAUAAAAACAGUUUUUCAAAUUAAAAGAAAUAUCUGUUAAGAAUGUUUAUAAUCCCACUCUAAGUUUGAAUAGCCUUGUUAAAAUUGUACCGUGAGAUAACCAUUGCACUUCUGUAUGGAGCAGCAGUGUUUUAUGUUUGCUGCCAUAAUCUGCACAUAAUAAUGAGAAUAAUCGGAAUUGCAGUGGUCGUUAUUUAAUGAAAUUUAUGUUCACUGCUUCAUAGAGGAAUAAUUUUAGAAUUUUCUUUUCGCAAGUGCCUGUCUAUGCAGGAUACAAACAAAACGAAUCAUCUGGACUUGAUGAUUUACUAAUUUACUCGACUAAAUUGCAACAAUUGAGAGACUUCGCCUAGCACAUUUGGAUUAUGGCUGGGCUAUGGUGUAUUUAUUUUGACGACAAAGAGUUAAUUUGUUGAUAAAAUGGAUCAGUUUGUUUGUGGUUCAUCAGACAUUUUGCCCCGAAUAGAUUCCCUUGCAAUGGCUAGUUAUUUUACCACAAAUAACGAUUUUAUGAUUAUUGAAAUCUACAGUUCAAAAGCAUCAAGGUAAUCAGUUCUAAUUGUAUAUCAAUUAUUGUAAAGAUGUUUUGCAGGAAAAGUAUUUACAUGUGAAACUGCUCUUUUUAUUGGAGAACAUGAUUCAUAUAAUUAACCCACUGAGUCUUUCAUUACCUCUUCAACUUCAUAUAAUUUACACAAGAUGUUCUAAUGAUCAUUUUAUCUUUAUAAUAGUAUGAAAAUACAUAAGUUUGAGAAAUUUGUCUAGCCUUUAAUGGCUUUUAUAAUGAUUUAUAUUGAUAUUUGCAAAAAAUAGAAUACCCAUUCCAUGGUUCUGUGUUUUGCUUUCUAAUAUAAUAUGAAAGAGAAACUUGUUAUUUUAAUUUUAACUAUAAGACAAUAAAAUUUAGCAUUAGCAUACUCCACUGUGCUGAGAUAAAAUCGAAUUUGGUGAAUAUGAAUAAAAGAAGAAGGUAGCUUAUAUCGUAAUUUACGACCUUUAAAUAAAAAAUUGCGACUGUUGAAAAAUCUGUAAAAUUAACGUUUUUUUCACUUUUCUCCCAUAGCAAUUUUUUUUCAAAUAUUUUAUUUCUGGUAAAUUUCGAUAGAAUACAACAAAUCAAAUAAAACGUACAAAUAAAUAAAAAAAAUAUGUCGUUUGGUUACAAAGAAUAACUCAGUGCAGAUUAAAACAUGACAUUUUGGGCAAAAUGUGUUUAAACUUUGAAGAUCAGCUGUCGGUCGCUCCAAAUUAUUUUAGCUGAAACGAGUAUUUCAGAAAACCUAUGUAAGCAAAUUUUCAGAACACUAGUCACAGUACUUUCCCAUAUACAUAUUGAUUCAGCUCGUCGUGAAGGACCCUGUACAUUUUGGCAAAAGAAAAAUGCUAUAUUUAUAUUGAAUAUUCUGACAUUUCAACAAACAUAAAAGCAGAGUUGUAAUAAUAAUAGAUUCUGCGUUUAACCAAUUCUUUAGUUACACUAUCGGUGCAAAUGAGGUAGCUUAUCGACCGAGCAGCUACAAUCAAAAUGAGUGGAGCGACGUAUUUAUUCGAGUUUUGAUAAUUAAUAGUGAAGUAAGUAUAAAUCCUAAAGGAACCUAAUAAAUUGAUUAAUUUGCGUUUCUUCCUAUAACAUAAUAAAAAAGUCGUUUCCAAGCCUCAUUAUAGCGAUUUUAUUGAAGCCGAUAUUACUUGUUUUUACUUUUAAUAAAUUCAAUUUCAAAAAUGGAGUUUAAAAACAUUGUCGCAUUCGACACAUAGCUGGUACUUCUAACCUGAAAUUUUGUCUGUUUUAUAAUGUGGUAGUUCAUUUUUAUUUUUCAUUUGCUACGUCAAAAGUGAGUGUACAUAUAAUGACAUUAAAAACAUUAAAUUUUGAUAUAUACCCAUAGAAAAUUCUAAUUACAUUAUCAAAAUACUACAUACCUAUACCUUGUACUUAUUUUACAAAUCCAUCAGCAAAUACCUACCAUAAUGUAAUUUUCCCUAUUAGGCAAGUCUCACGUGAACCAAAUUGUUUUUAUGAAAGUCAACACACUGCCUUAGAAUUGAAUUAGAAUAGAAAGUGUCUUACCAAACAGUACAAUAAACUUUUUCCUCAAUUAAAAGAUGUGCGCUUAUAUUGUAAACAUUAACAUUUAAAAAAAAAUUCAACACUCCCAUUGGGUAAAGUAUAAAAUUUUCCAAAUUAAAAUUGGUGUUCCACUUUCCUUGUCAUUAUUUCUCUUCUCUCAUAAUAUUUUUUCUUGGAUUUUUUUAAAUUUAUUUCGAUAUAAAGAUCGUAUAAAUCUAUAACUGGCUCAUUGGAACAGUAAUUGAACUGUGUACAAAAAAUUUAACAGGCUUAAACCUUUUUCUGCUACAAAUUGUUCAUAUAACUCAUACAUUCUCUUAAUGCCCGACAAUAAUGACUCUGAAUUACGGGACACAUUUUAAUAUAUAUGUUGCAACAUAAUAUCUGUUAUUCUCCAAUAUCGAAAAAGUGAAAUAAAAAUGAGAAUUGAGUGUAUGUUUAUUAUAGUAUAAAGACGGAUAUUGGAAAAUGGAAAACAUUAAAAUAUCGGUGAUUGCAUAUGACAUGGCAAUAACGGCAGAUGAGAAAACCUUGAACUCAAACUUGAAAAUAUACAAUGAUAGUCUACUGACAUUGAUAUAAAAAAAAAAACGAACAAAAAAUAAAAUAAAAAUAAACCGAAAAGAGAAGACACACAAGUUAAAAUUAUAAGAAUCAAAUAUAGAGCAGGUCAAAAGCUUCAAUUACCUUGGCAUGACACCACACAAGAUGGAAGAUUGGAACAAGAUUUAAACGAAAGAACUGGAGCAUCUGGAAGAUUAUUCAAUGCAAUCAAGUCACAGUUUCUAGCCAAAAAGGAAAUACCAAAACAAAUAAAAACAGAAAUAUAUAAAAAACAUAGCCGCACUAAUAUUAACAUUUGGAUCUGAGACGUGCAAAUGUUAAAUUUAUUUGCUUAACUAAAAUUCAUUCAUUAUUUAUCAUCGUAUCAUUACGAAAACAUAAACUUAUACCGAGAAAUUUUUUCUUCUUAUACAAAAUUAGUUGUGUUUGUCUCAUGAUCUAUAAGAAAUUUCGGAACAUUUUUGUUAUAAAUCUUAAGCUGAGCAUAUUAAUUUGAAUAAAAAGAAUAUUUCUCUCUCAAUAAAUGUUCAUCUUUGUAUGUCAAUCACAAUACACAAAUGAUAAUGGAAGAGAAUUUGUAGGAGGCCAUUUUUUUUCAAUAAUGUAUUACUUAUUUAAUUAUACAGUUGAAAAGUAAAUAAGAACUAUUGUCCAAUUUGUUGUCAGUUAUGUACCUUUCUCCAAUAUUUGGCUUAGGUGAAGAUAUAACUGAGGAAAAUUGAUAUAAAUGAUAGUAUACAAUAGAAGCAGCAGAAAAAGAAGAAAUUUUAAGGAUAGAUCUGACCAACAUUUGUCGCAAACUGUAACUAAUAUGCUAAAUCAAAAACUUUUCAAUUAAAUAUUCAAUUAUGGCUGUGUUAAACACAUUUAUAUCUUUCUCAUAAUUCUAGUACAUCCAUCUUGUUAAUAGAAUACAAAUAGCAUCCGAAAAACUAUAAACUUUACGAAUUAAUCCCACCCCACGAAUAAACCAAUGAACCAAAAUAGUGCGGAAACAAGAAGCAACUCAGUGAAGGAUUUCUAAACCCGCCACUCGUAGGAAUCAUCGCUGCUCUAUGCGUUAACUUAAAAUUCAAAAGUUAAUAGAUGAUUCUCUGCAACUUCAAUGAAUCUGCAGUUUUGGCACCAGGUUCCCAUUAAGAAAUCUUUUUCUAUUUUUGUUUUUCGUUAUCACGACAUGAAGUAUCUUAAUGUUUGAUUGCAAAAGAAAUUUAUAUUUGAAUGCAUACACAGGCACGGUUUUGCUUUUAGAUUAGAUGAGUCUGCUUCUCACUUUUUCUAUUGUUCUAAUCAAAGACACUUUCUUCAACAGUAAGCACUUUAAAUUUUGUUGAAAGCAUGUCUCCACGCACACGAAAAACAACUGUAACCACUGAAUGCAUUAAGAGUAACUGGCAGUCGAAAACUGAUAGCCAGACAGCAUGUGACGAACUGUAAUCUCUCUCU